GAGCAGGUGACUUAGAGGGAAGCGCGUCCUAACAUUUUGUGCGGUUUUGGGGAGACCUAGUUACUGCGCAGCCUUCUCUGAAGUUGAAUCUUCUUCGGGAAUGUUAACAGCAACACCUGGGAUCUGGGCCAACCAGAGGCAGCUUUUCAAAAGUUUUUCUGCAUGGGGACCUUUCCAAUCCUCUCAAAGGACAGAAAGAUUUUUGGAGAUUAUGUAGUCUUAUUUCAUUUUGCAAAUGUUUAUUGAGCCUUACUGUCUGCCCUGUUCUGAAGACACAAAGACAUCUUGCUUUGAAAAAACGUGUACGACUUAGUGGAGCAGCAGAUUAAAACAAAAAAGGAAAGGAUGGAGAUGAGUGGAAUAAGAGAUGCUAAUGCUUU